GACGAACGCUGGCGGCGUGCUUAACACAUGCAAGUCGAACGGAAAGGCCCUGCUUUUGUGGGGUGCUCGAGUGGCGAACGGGUGAGUAACACGUGAGUAACCUGCCCUUGACUUUGGGAUAACUUCAGGAAACUGGGGCUAAUACCGGAUAGGAGCUCCUGCUGCAUGGUGGGGGUUGGAAAGUUUCGGCGGUUGGGGAUGGACUCGCGGCUUACCAGCUUGUUGGUGGGGUAGUGGCUUACCAAGGCUUUGACGGGUAGUCGGCCUGAGAGGGUGACCGGCCACAUGGGGACUGAGAGACGGCCCAGACUCCUACGGGAGGCAGCAGUGGGGAAUAUUGCACAAUGGGCGGAAGCCUGAUGCAGCAACGCCGCGUGCGGGAUGACGGCCUUCGGGUUGUAAACCGCUUUCGCCUGUGACGAAGCGUGAGUGACGGUAAUGGGUAAAGAAGCACCGGCUAACUACGUG
rnacentral:rRNA from 1 species